GGUGGAUGCAAUAAUGUACAACCUUAGGACAAAACCAGUAAGUAAGAAAGGAUACAGUUUUGCAGCUCGUACUGCUCCUCGUUUUCUCCCCCCUCUCCAGACAGUGACCCCCUCACCCCAGAAAUACCAGCAGGACUGGAGUGUAUCACAGGAGUGCUCUCCAGGAAAAGCUCCAUUUAAUUCCACCUCAAGAGGUUUGGCUCCACGUCUGCUUCUGUCAGCUGCAGCCCUGGGUUCAUCCUGUCUGCAAUCAAAUACAAGUCAAAGUAAAUAUACCAAUACGUACAGGGAGGAAUGGGCCAGGGAAAUUGGUACUUCAAUAACAGAGGCUCCAUGUCUCAGAAGAUGGCUAUCUGAGAUGACCAGGUUUGCUCAACUAGGACGACGGUUGAGGUGCUCCAGUGCAAUUGCACUGGGGCGAUCUCUUUCUGUUUGAAAGGUAUUUUUGGAUGCACUUAAGAGGCCAUAAUCUUAUUUUAUUUGUUUAUUUUUCUUUUUUAAUCUAAUUCUUGUUUUUAUCAUUUAUUUAUUUAUUUAUAUAUAUAUUUUAUUUAUCUAUUUUCCAUUUUCUAAAUGCAUUAUCUAUGUACUGUGGAUUUUUUUUGUUCAUUGUUGAUCUUUGAUGUUUGUUGUUUGAAAACUUAAAUA